UACAGAGGGGGCGAGCGUUGUUCGGAAUUACUGGGCGUAAAGGGCGCGUAGGCGGCCAACUAAGUCGGACGUGAAAUCCCCAGGCUCAACUUGGGAACUGCGUCCGAUACUGGAUGGCUCGAAUCCGGGAGAGGGAUGCGGAAUUCCAGGUGUAGCGGUGAAAUGCGUAGAUAUCUGGAGGAACAUCGGUGGCGAAGGCGGCAUCCUGGACCGGUAUUGACGCUGAGGCGCGAAAGCCAGGGGAGCAAACAGG
rnacentral:rRNA from 1 species